GAAUGCUAGGUGUUAGGGGUUUCGAUACCCUUGGUGCCGAAGUUAACACAUUAAGCAUUCCGCCUGGGGAGUACGGUCGCAAGACUGAAACUCAAAGGAAUUGACGGGGACCCGCACAAGCAGUGGAGUAUGUGGUUUAAUUCGAAGCAACGCGAAGAACCUUACCAGGUCUUGACAUCCCUUUGACCCCUCUAGAGAUAGAGGUUUCCUUCGGGACAGAGGAGACAGGUGGUGCAUGGUUGUCGUCAGCUCGUGUCGUGAGAUGUUGGGUUAAGUCCCGCAACGAGCGCAACCCUUGAUCUUAGUUGCCAGCACGUGAAGGUGGGCACUCUAAGGUGACUGCCGGUGACAAACCGGAGGAAGGUGGGGAUGACGUCAAAUCAUCAUGCCCCUUAUGACCUGGGCUACACACGUACUACAAUGGCUGGUACAACGGGAAGCGAAGCCGCGAGGUGGAGCCAAUCCUAAAAAGCCAGUCUCAGUUCGGAUUGCAGGCUGCAACUCGCCUGCAUGAAGUCGGAAUUGCUAGUAAUCGCGGAUCAGCAUCC
rnacentral:rRNA from 1 species